CAGGAUGAACGCUGGCGGCGUGCUUAACACAUGCAAGUCGAGCGAAGCACCUUGACGGAUUUCUUCGGAUUGAAGCCUUGGUGACUGAGCGGCGGACGGGUGAGUAACGCGUGGGUAACCUGCCUCAUACAGGGGGAUAACAGUUGGAAACGGCUGCUAAUACCGCAUAAGCGCACAGUACCGCAUGGUACGGUGUGAAAAACUCCGGUGGUAUGAGAUGGACCCGCGUCUGAUUAGGUAGUUGGUGGGGUAACGGCCUACCAAGCCGACGAUCAGUAGCCGACCUGAGAGGGUGACCGGCCACAUUGGGACUGAGACACGGCCCAAACUCCUACGGGAGGCAGCAGUGGGGAAUAUUGCACAAUGGGGGAAACCCUGAUGCAGCGACGCCGCGUGAGCGAUGAAGUAUUUCGGUAUGUAAAGCUCUAUCAGCAGGGAAGAAAAUGACGGUACCUGACUAAGAAGCCCCGGCUAACUACGUGCCAGCAGCCGCGGUAAUACGUAGGGGGCAAGCGUUAUCCGGAUUUACUGGGUGUAAAGGGAGCGUAGACGGCAUGGCAAGCCAGAUGUGAAAGCCCGGGGCUCAACCCCGGGACUGCAUUUGGAACUGUCAGGCUAGAGUGUCGGAGAGGAAAGCGGAAUUCCUAGUGUAGCGGUGAAAUGCGUAGAUAUUAGGAGGAACACCAGUGGCGAAGGCGGCUUUCUGGACGGUGACUGACGUUGAGGCUCGAAAGCGUGGGGAGCAAACAGGAUUAGAUACCCUGGUAGUCCACGCCGUAAACGAUCCAAAAUGGGUGUCGGGUGGCAAAGCCAUUCGGUGCCGCAGCAAACGCAAUAAGUAUUCCACCUGGGGAGUACGUUCGCAAGAAUGAAACUCAAAAGAAUUGACGGGGACCCGCACAAGCGGUGGAGCAUGUGGUUUAAUUCGAAGCAACGCGAAGAACCUUACCUGGUCUUGACAUCCCUCUGACCGCUCUUUAAUCGGAGCUUUCCUUCGGGACAGAGGAGACAGGUGGUGCAUGGUUGUCGUCAGCUCGUGUCGUGAGAUGUUGGGUUAAGUCCCGCAACGAGCGCAACCCCUAUCUUUAGUAGCCAGCAUUUCGGAUGGGCACUCUAGAGAGACUGCCAGGGAUAACCUGGAGGAAGGUGGGGAGGACGUCAAAUCAUCAUGCCCCUUAUGACCAGGGCUACACACGUGCUACAAUGGCGUAAACAAAGGGAAGCGAGCCCGCGAGGGGGAGCAAAUCCCAAAAAUAACGUCUCAGUUCGGAUUGUAGUCUGCAACUCGACUACAUGAAGCUGGAAUCGCUAGUAAUCGCGAAUCAGAAUGUCGCGGCGAAAAAAAACCCGGGUCUUGC
rnacentral:rRNA from 1 species